rnacentral:sRNA from 1 species
UAGAGGCGGUGGAGACAGGAACGGAGCCAAGAUGGCAGAGGCUGGAGGCGGGAGCA